UGCAGGAGAAACAGAGUACCGGUGUCGUGCACUCAAAAGAAACUACUUCAACUACCAUGACUACUACACAGAGUUCAGUGAACCUGUUAAUGUUACAGUAAAAGGAGGGAGACCACAUCCAGUACUGAGUGUAUCUCCACAGAACUGGCUGACUGAAGGAGACUCAGUGACUCUAAGCUGUGAGGUUACAAACUCCUCUACAGACUGGACAUUCAGCUGACAGCAGCAGAGGAUCUGGAGGCUCCUACACUC